GAGUAGUAUUAGGUAAGAUCUUUAAACUCAAAAAAUUUGGCGGUAUUUUAUCUUAUUAGAGGAACCUGUUAAUUAAUUGAUAAUCCACAAUAUAUUUACUUUUAUUAUAUUACUUGUAUAUCGCUGUCAUGAAUAUAUUUAUAAAUUAAAGUUCUAUAAAUUUAAUGUUAAGUCAAGGUGUAGUAUUUAAAGAUUUAAAUGGGUUACAGUAAAUGAAUGGAAAUAAAAAGGAUUUAAAAGUAAAAUUAUUAUAAAUUAUGAAUAUAGAUUCUAAAAUAUG
rnacentral:rRNA from 1 species